AACGAACGCUGGCGGCAGGUCUUAGGCAUGCAAGUCGAACGGGUGUAGUAAUACACCAGUGGCGAACGAGUGAGUAACGCGUGGGAAUCUGCCCAUCUCUGGGGAAUAACGUUUGGAAACGAACGCUAAUACCGCAUACGCCCGCAAGGGGAAAGAUCUAUCGGAGAUGGAUGAGCCCGCGUUGGAUUAGUUAGUUGGUGGGGUAACGGCCUACCAAGGCGAUGAUCCAUAGCUGGUCUGCGAGGUCGAUCAGCCACGCUGGAACUGAGAUACGGUCCAGACUCAUACGGGAGGCAGCAGCUAAGAAUAUUGGGCAAUGGAGGAAACUCUGACCCAGCCAUGCCGCGUGAAUGAAGAAGGCCUUCGGGUUGUAAAGUUCUUUUAGUCGUGACGAUGAUGACGGUAGCGACAGAAAAAGCACCGGCUAACUUCGUGCCAGCCGCCGCGGUAA
rnacentral:rRNA from 1 species